rnacentral:lncRNA from 1 species
AUUUUUGUAUUGCAUUAGAUUGUUAUAAGGUGCACAUUCUUUGUUUCUUCAGCUUGUAAACCGCCUUGGAUAUUGUAAGAUAGAAAGAUGGUAUACAAAUUAAAAGUGAUGAUGAUGAUGAUGAUUAUGAUGAUAAUCUCAAGGUUGUGAGUUUGAGCCCCACUUUGGGCAAAAAGAUUCCCUCGCGGUCCCUUCCAAUUCUACAAUUCUACAGUUGUAAUAAAUUCCAUUUGUGCCUCUCUCUCUCAAUUUAAGAGUUCUUAAUAGUGUGUAUUGCAUUUAAUAUUCAAGUGGAUUUGGUUAGACUUCCUCAACAGACCUCCUCAACAGUGCUCACCUUCUGAACGACCAGUUCUGGAGGGAGAAGCUAGACCACCUUUUGCCCACAUUGGAAAAACCUUUACAACAGGAUCCCCAGAUUCUCCCCAAAUAGCCAAAUAGGGUCAGUGAGUACCAGAAAGCAAGGGCAGCAUAGGAUACAUACAAGCAGUUGAAGUAUCUUUCCAUAAGGGCCAACAUUGAUGCCGAAAUCCAGCAUCGCCUGAGCUCUGUGAGUGCGGCUUUCUCCUGACUGAAGUGCAGAGUGUUUGAGGACCGGGACACUUGCAGGGAAACCAAAUGCUUGUUUACAAAACUACUGUACUACCAACCUUACUAUAUGCUUGUGAAACAUGGACCAUUUAUAAACGCCAACUCCAACUCCUUGAAAGAUUCCAUCAAUGGUGUCUCCGAAAAUUUUUACACAUCACUUGGGAAGACAGGUGAACUAAUGGCAGUGUACUGGAAGAAGCAAAGAUCACCAGUGUUGAAGCAAUGAUUCUUCAACAUCAACUUCGUUGGACGGGUCAUGUUGUCUGGAUGCCUGAUGAUCAUCUUCCAAAGCAACUACUCUAUUCCCAACUUAAAAAUGGAAAGCGUAAUGCUGGUGGUCAACAAAAGAGGUUCAAAGACUGUCUCAAGGCAAAUCUUUAAAAAUGUAGUAUAAACACUGACAACUGGGAAACACUGGCGUGCGAGCACUCCAGUUGGAGAACAGCCUUUACCAAAGGUGUCGUGGGCUUUGAAGACACUCAAACUCAGGACGCAAGGAAGAAACGUGCUAAGAGGAAGGCACGCUUGGCAAACCUUCACCAUGAUCAACUCCCGCCCGGAAACCAAUGUCCCCACUGUGGAAGGAUGUGUGGAUCCAGAACUGGCCUCCACAGUCACUUACGGAUUCACUGUUAAAACCAUGUUUAUGGAAGACAAUCUUACUCGGCUAUGAAGGAUCACCAAAGAAGAAAGACAUAGGAGCAGUUGAAGUCUCUGUCCCUAUGGCUGGGUCUGAGGACACAAUGCUAGGGCUGUCACCAUAGAAACUUGCUGAGCUGAUGUCAGGCAGAAGCUGAGAAGACUGAACAUUCUGGAACAGCAAGCAGCCGGUGUUUAUAUUGUUUUGUAUCGAGGGUGGAGGCCCUUGAGAAGAUUCUGGCAGAGGAAUCUCAAAAGCCAACCUCAGAGUUGCAGCCUUGAUAGACACAGGACCUCAGAAACAGUUCAGGGGGAAAACUAGAGACACAUGUCACAUUUGAAUGACUCAUUUUGCACCUGUUUCACCCUGGCAGUCUGAGUAAUCAAGAGGCCGCUGUUUGCCCCAGAUGGGGCCCUUUUACUGGGGCUUGCAGGUAGCACACCCCCAAGAUAGUUUUCCGGGCUUCUUCAGUGAUCUAAUCUCAGAGCCUUGAUGCAUGUAUUGAUAUUCAAUUUCAUAGAGAAUACUAUUUCUUGGCUUAAGCAAAUCAGUCUCUUAAGCUUAAGCCAAGAAAUUGGUAAUUAUUGUGUGUAUAUUAGUCACCAACCUGCUAAGGUAAGUAAGCUGCUGCUCUCAUGUUCACCUUUGGCCAGUCUCCGUUGGGCUGCUAAGGCUGUCUAUAUACAAUAAGCUUAAAAAAGUCUUUAAGUAUACCUUUUUUAAAAAACCCGAAGCCUUUCUAUUGGGAUUGACAGGGAAGGAAAUUAAAAGGAAGGAUAAAAAUCUUUUUCUGUAUGCCAUGACAGCAGCAAGAACUACCGUAUUUUUUGCUCUAUAAGACUCACUUUUUCCCUCCUAAAAAGUAAGGGGAAAUGUGUGUGUGUCUUAUGGAGCGAAUGCAGGCUGCGCAGCUAUCCCAGAAGCCAGAACACCAAGAGGGAUUACUGCUUUCACUGCGCAGCAAUCCCUCUUGCUGUUCUGGCUUUUGAGAUUCAGAAUAUUUUUUUUCUUGUUUUCCUCCUCCAAAAACUAGGUGCGUCUUGUGGUCUGGUGCGUCUUAUAGAGCGAAAAAUACGGUAUGUUGGCCCAGAACUGGAAAACAGAUGCAAUACCCACUAUAAUGGAAUGGCAGGUUAAAAUGAUGAAUUACGCAGAACUGGCUAGAAUGUCAGGAAAAGUACGGGAUCAGGAUGAAAAGAAGUUUGCUGAAAGUUGGAGUAAAUAUUUGGUGUAUAUAAGAGAAAAUUGUAAAACUUUAAAGACACUGGCAGGGUUAGAGUAACUCUAGCGGCAUAAGACAAAACAGUAGCUAAUAGAAUACGUGGUGUAAAAACUAUAUGAUACUUACCGAAGGGAUGGAGGGAAGUCCGGAGCUCGGCAGAGCUAAAGGUAUAUGUGGGAUGUAUAAAUGUAUAAUGAGUCUAUGUGCACUAAUGAAAACUAAUAAAAAAUUAUUGGGGGGAAAAGAGAAUACUAUUUCUUGGCUUAAGCUUAAGUGCGUCCCUUGAUUACUUGGACCGCCAGGGCCAAACAGGCGCAAAACGCUGGCCCCCUGUCUACAACUUCCUUAACAUCCAUCUACAACUUCACUAGCAUCUCUCGGUAUUGUGAACAACACCGAACUUACCUUUUGUUGUUAACUUCAUGAACUUACCUAAAAAGAUAAAGAAAACAAAAGACGGAGUUAAGCAUUUGAAAAACCCAUUGAAACCAGACAUUGUAAGUUCAUCUUAGGUUGGGUAGUUCACAAGUCUCUGUGGCUUUGCACAAGCUUUUGUAUUUUUCUCAGAAGAUUGAUAAAGAAUGUCUAAUUAUUUUGGUAAUUAUUGUGUGUAUAUUAGUCGCCAACGUAUGAGUCGUACUACUGCCUCCUGUGGCAGCGAGUUCCACAGUUGUGGAACUGCGCUGUGUGAAGAAGUCCUUUCUUUUUCUCUCAGCGUUCAGCUUCAAUGAAUCUCCACCACUUCGAAAGUAACAUUUUUAUAUGUAACUGCAGUUUUUGUGGUAUUUUGUUUAAGUCGUCUGCGGACGCUUCAGUUUUUUGCACACCGCUUAGAAAUAUUUUUAAUAGAUUAAGCUGUAUAGAAAGCUACGAAGCAGCAUAGAAAUUAAACAAUGUUGUUGGCACCCGUCUGUCUCAGGAGGCGGGAGAGGAGAGCACCUUUGAGGGUACAGUCAUACCAGCGGCGUAGCGUGGGUUGUCAGCACCCGGGGCAAGGCAAGUAAUUUGCGCCCCCUAACCCGGGGCAAGGCAAGUAAUUUGCGCCCCCUAACCCCUAACCUGCCGCCGCUGCCAGCUUCUUCUUGCUGCUGCCUGGGCUGGUCUGGUGUGGUUCUCUCCCGCGCUCAGCGCUGCGCUGGGCGGCCACUGCACUGUCCCUCCCCCAGAUAGCCCCUCGCUCUCUCUCCGCAUCGCACGCCUGGCACCCACCCCCUCCACAGUGGGCGGCGACCCAGUGGCUCGGAUCAGAUUCGCACAGCCAGCACUGCAGUGAGAGAGAGUGAGUGAGCCAGGUAGGGGCAGAGAGCUGCGAGUGCGAGCGCGCCCCCAGAUGUUGCGCCCGGUGCGGCCGGCCCCCCCUGCACCCCCCACGCUACGCCACUGAGUCAUACUGCUGAAAGUCAAACUGUCUCUUUCGUAUUGGUCUCUACAGCCACAGCUUAGCCAUGCAAAGUUUUAUAGACAUCUAUCAUGUCACUUUUAUAGACUUCUGUCAUGUCAUUUCUUCCUCAUAUUUUUUCUGAACUAGGAACUCACAAGUGCUACAACCUUUCCACAUGGAGGAAAAUGCUUUGACCAUUUGGCUUGCCCCUUUCUGAAUUCAGAAUAUGCCAGAAUUACAGAAUCCAUUUUUAAAAAUUGAAAAAGAGACAACCAAAUGGAUACUCCUAAGAGUCUUGAGGAACAAGAGCUAAGAAAAAGUGAGACAAAAACAAGACAACUCCAUC